rnacentral:rRNA from 1 species
GUACUCAGUUCGGAUUGUAGUCUGCAACUCGACUACAUGAAGCUGGAAUCGCUAGUAAUCGCGGAUCAGAAUGCCGCGGUGAAUACGUUCCCGGGUCUUGUACACACCGCCCGUCACACCAUGGGAGUCGGGAAUGCCCGAAGCCAGUGACCCAAGCGAAAGCAGGGAGCUGUCGAAGGCAGGCCGGAUAACUGGGGUGAAGUCGUAACAAGGUAAC